GUUCACUAGAGCUCCUUGGUGAUUUGCACCAUAGUACGGAGGAUACAGCGUCACGGAAUCUUUAUUUCGACAACUGGAACUCACGGACAGACAUCAACCAUUUUCUGGGUUACGCAUCAGUGCAUCUAAUAGGACAUGUGGAGAUGAGAAGCAGAGCUGUGCUUGAAAAGAUGGGCCAGAUCUGGCCACGUUCUCAUACUACCUUUGAUCACGGUACCCAACGUCAGAUGGUGACCGUCGCCAAGCAACGGGAGGAAAGCCGCGCCUGGAAUCCUCGACGGCGUCUGGGAGACUGCAGAAACCACGACAGAACACUCCGAAUGAAGACACCUCAGUUCUUACUCCACACCCACUCGUGCGAAGUGUAAAAAGCGUGGAUCUUUGUUUCCACGUGAACACGAGGGGGGCAAAGCACUCUGAGAGUCACUCACGGCGAAAAGGAACAACUACAAGAGAGGUCUGCGAACUUGUUCUGUAAAAGGUCAGAUAAUAAAGAUUUUCAGCCUUGG
rnacentral:lncRNA from 1 species